rnacentral:rRNA from 1 species
CCUACGGGUGGCAGCAGUGAGGAAUAUUGGUCAAUGGCCGGAAGGCUGAACCAGCCAAGCCGCGUGAAGGAAGAAGGCGCUAAGCAUUGUAAACUUCUUUUGUCAAGGGACAAAAUCAGGCACGAGUGCCUGAUUGAGGGUACCUGAAGAAAAAGCAUCGGCUAACUCCGUGCCAGCAGCCGCGGUAAUACGGAGGAUGCGAGCGUUAUCCGGAUUUAUUGGGUUUAAAGGGUGCGUAGGCGGGACGUUAAGUUAGCGGUGAAAUCCCGGGGCUCAACCCCGGCGCAGCCUUUGAAACUGGCGGGCUAGAGUUGAGGAGAGGUAUGCGGAAUGUGCGGUGUAGCGGUGAAAUGCAUAGAGAU